rnacentral:rRNA from 1 species
UACGGAGGAUCCAAGCGUUAUCCGGAAUCAUUGGGUUAAAGGGUCCGUAGGCGGUUUGGUAAGUCAGUGGUGAAAGCCCAUCGCUCAACGGUGGAACGGCCAUUGAUACUGCCAGACUUGAAUUAUUAGGAAGUAACUAGAAUAUGUAGUGUAGCGGUGAAAUGCUUAGAGAUUACAUGGAAUACCAAUUGCGAAGGCAGGUUACUACUAAUGGAUUGACGCUGAUGGACGAAAGCGUGGGUAGCGAACAGG